UACGUAGGUGGCAAGCGUUGUCCGGAUUUACUGGGCGUAAAGAGCGCGCAGGCGGUCGGCCAAGUCGAGUGUGAAAGCCCCCGGCUCAACUGGGGAGGGUCAUUCGAUACUGGUCGACUCGAAGGCAGGAGAGGGAAGCGGAAUUCCCGGUGUAGUGGUGAAAUGCGUAGAUAUCAGGAGGAACACCGGUGGCGAAGGCGGUUCUCUGGGCCUGUACUGACGCUGAGGAGCGGAAGCGUGGGAGCGAACAGGA
rnacentral:rRNA from 1 species